UGGGGGGGGGCCCUAAAAACAUGCAAGUCGAGCGGACAGAAGGGAGCUUGCUCCCGGAUGUUAGCGGCGGACGGGUGAGUAACACGUGGGUAACCUGCCUGUAAAACUGGGAUAACUCCGGGAAACCGGAGCUAAUACCGGAUAGUUCCUUGAACCGCAUGGUUCAAGGAUGAAAGACGGUUUCGGCUGUCACUUACAGAUGGACCCGCGGCGCAUUAGCUAGUUGGUGAGGUAACGGCUCACCAAGGCGACGAUGCGUAGCCGACCUGAGAGGGUGAUCGGCCACACUGGGACUGAAACACGGCCCAAACUCCUACGGGAGGCAGCAGUAGGGAAUCUUCCGCAAUGGACAAAAGUCUGACGGAGCAACGCCGCGUGAGUGAUGAAGGUUUUCGGAUCGUAAAGCUCUGUUGUUAGGGAAAAACAAGUGCAAAAGUAACUGCUUGCACCUUGACGGUACCUAACCAAAAAGCCACGGCUAACUACGUGCCAGCAGCCGCGGUAAUACGUAGGUGGCAAGCGUUGUCCGGAAUUAUUGGGCGUAAAGGGCUCGCAGGCGGUUUCUUAAGUCUGAUGUGAAAGCCCCCGGCUCAACCGGGGAGGGUCAUUGGAAACUGGGAAACUUGAGUGCAGAAGAGGAGAGUGGAAUUCCACGUGUAGCGGUGAAAUGCGUAGAGAUGUGGAGGAACACCAGUGGCGAAGGCGACUCUCUGGUCUGUAACUGACGCUGAGGAGCGAAAGCGUGGGGAGCGAACAGGAUUAGAUACCCUGGUAGUCCACGCCGUAACGAUGAGUGCUAGUGUAGGGGUUCCGCCCCUUAGUGCUGCAGCUACGCAUAGCACUCCGGCUGGGGGAGUACGGUCGCAGACUGGAACUUCAAGGAUUGACGAGUCAGCAAGCGUGGAGCAUGUGAUUUAACUUCGGAGGCAACGGCGAGAC
rnacentral:rRNA from 1 species